GCUCAUAAUAUAUUUAUUGAAAAAGAUUAUUCCUGGAAAAAAUUUACAAACAUACCUAACAAUUGGUCUUCUUUUUUUCGUUUUUACCUAAGCUUUGGUGCAUCUAAAGUCUAAACUAUUAAAAGUGGCAAGAGUUGAAAUUGAGCACAAAUGUGCUUUUGAAGACUCUAGAAGAUGAAAAAUGAAAGUAGAGGAGAAAAGAUGUAGAGAGAGAAUUCUCUCUGCAGAUCUUAGAUCUAGAUUCAAAAUUUGAAUCUUUCCGGUGGUCCGUCUUCCCCAGCCUCUUCCUCCGCUCCGCUUCUCCAUGAGGUCCCACUUUGUAGCUGUGCCAAUGUCUAUUCUCCAGCCCGUUUACUCUGCAGUGACAAGUCGGAGCAGUCGGCUCAAGACUCACACCAACCUCCAUCUCCGUCGGUUGACUUCUCUGGUGCUCCCUCCACCAGAUCCACCAGACCCACCGGAUCCACCAAACUUACCGUCCUCGUUGAACGGUUCUCCACGACGCUCCCUUACGUCAAUCUCUAAUCCGCCGUCUCCAAACUCUUCACAAAUUCCAAGCUUUCCUCGAAGCUCCUCCAUCAUCUCAAUCCCGACAGGUUCUUGUCGUGCCGUUCAUUGUUGUUGCUCCGGCGAGUGCUCUGUUUCUGCAUUAACCUGUCUCGCCAGUCAUUCCUGCUGCUUUGGCCAUGUCAUGGUUGAAGCCCAAGUGGUUCCUUUGGAGCCGCCUGACCCUUCUCCACCUGAUGUGUCUCUGCUUCUUCAGAUGCAACCUUUGGCACGAGCUUUAACUUUCAGUGCGGUGUGUAAUUUCUCUGACACAAGCAUAUCUUCUCUGCCUUGGCCACUACUCCAUUUUGAAGCCAAUUCGGUAACUCUCUUGAGUUCCUUGGUGCUUGAUUUUGGGUUCUUAUGUGGCCUCCUUACUGUAGAUUGCAGUUUCUUUUCCGGAUUCCUUCCGGUCCUUUCAAGUGCUAUCAUAUCUGCUACAUGUGUUUUGAAAGACUUACGACAAGUCCAUAUGAUUUGGGAAUAUUUGUUAGCUGAUUUAGUUAAGCGAGUUGGGUGGGAUAAAAAAUAUAUUUUAACAUUGAUAGUUGCCCAUGUUAUUGUGUUCCGUGGUGAUGUGCUAAUGGACUUAGCUUCCUUUGGUUCCACCUUUGUGUCCUCUAGUGACAUUUAUGUCGCCCUGUUGCGAUCUCUUACUGCAGUUUGCAGUCCUCUUAUGAUAUCCAUUCCGGCUGUUGGUGUUGUGUUUUGUUUUUUCUCUCCUUGGUGGCAGGUGGAUGAGAAACCCAUUGUUAUCUUCAGCCCGAUGAAUAUGAUUGUAGCGAGUUCUGAUGUCCCAUUUGUCUCAUAUUUGGAGCAGUCUCAUUUCCCAAUAUUUCCUCUUAUAUGGAGUGAAUUGGAUGAACAAGCGUCGUUGGUAUUGCAAGGAUCUUCCUCCCAUCGAAUGCUCUUUUCUGCGUCUGGUGCAGUGUGUGUAGUCCUAUGGGUUACACUAGAUGCGAUCUUUCGAGAAGCUUAUGAAGCCGUUUUUGAUACGAUUUCUUAUGGUUCUUCUUGUGAUCUGUAUCGCCAUUCUAUCUAUCGUUUUGAUACGAUUUCUUAUGGUCUCUUCUUUUGUUUAGCUCGCAGUAGCUUUUAUGUAUCCUCCUUUGAUGGAGUUUAAACUUUUCUAAGAUAAAUGCAAGUAUGGUUUGACCAAAAAAAAAAGACUCUAGAAGAUGAAAAGAAAAGUGAUUGGUGCAGUUUAAAAACGUAGAAAAAUUGGCUCAUAAUAGAUUUUUGAGGCAAGGCCCAACAAAGUGCCACCUUAACAGAUAUCCAGAGAAAGAUAAUGAAUGGGUUGCCUGGAAUAUCGAAGCCCAUGUAGUGAAGUCAAUUUGUCGAGGACGGCGAGAAGACAGAUGAUCGCCUGAAGAGGGAGAUUGGAAGCUGCAUGCAUUUUCUCAAUAGGUGAAAACGAUCGGAUCAAGAGAGGGAGAGCCAAAGCUGAAUGCAAUCACUGGAGCAGACUGGAUCCGAAUCUCUGAAGGAUGAGAUUUUGUGUUUAAUCAAAGCAGAGAUGUGGUCGCUGAUUGGUUAAGGCGAUUUGAAGAUUUGAUUGUGGAGUCGUUGAUUUCGCUAGGCCUGCAAAGCUAAAAGUGAGAGAUAACGAAGAUUCUUAUCACCAGAGAGAGAGAGAUUAGACCAGAGAUAGUAUCUUCCAAUCAUCAGAAGCGAAGUUGAAGCGUAACUUAGAGUUGAGAGGGCCACUAAAACAAUUAAUCUAAGUGACUUCACCGACAUAAACGGAAAAAAAAGUCAUCUUAAGGUGAAGAACUUCAUCUCUCUUUCGUAUGUCGAUCCUUAGAGGUCUUGAUCUUAAAGUAUGUGUUCAGAGCAGAAGAAUUUUAAAGAACCCACGGUGAUAGAGUCAACCGGAAUCGACAUACUGUAAGUGAGUAUAGGUGUUUAUAGAUUAGAUGAAGAAUCUUGCGACUUGCUUGUUCGUUUGGUUGCCGCGGAUUUUGGCGUCUGCGUCAGCGUCGUUUGGUUGUUGUUCGUUUUGCCGACGCCGACGCCGACGCCGACACUGCCGCAGCCGCAGCCGUAUAUUGUUGUUCGUUUCUAAGCUGCAGGAAGUUAACGCUGACGCAGGAAGCAAGUUUUGGUUUGUUUGUUUAACAGACGCUGUGGCUAUUUUCAUUUAUUCAUUUUUUAUUUUUUAAAAAUUGUAAAAUUAUAUUUUAAAUAAAUAAAAUGUAGCUUAAAUA